GUGGGGAAUAUUGGACAAUGGGCGAAAGCCUGAUCCAGCCAUGCCGCGUGUGUGAAGAAGGUCUUCGGAUUGUAAAGCACUUUAAGUUGGGAGGAAGGGCAGUAAGUUAAUACCUUGCUGUUUUGACGUUACCGACAGAAUAAGCACCGGCUAACUUCGUGCCAGCAGUCGCGGUAAUACGAAGGGUGCAAGCGUUAAUCGGAAUUACUGGGCGUAAAGCGCGCGUCGGUGGUUUUGUAAGUUGGAGGUGAAAUCCCCGGGCUCAACCUGGGAACUGCCUCCAAAACUGCAUGACUAGAGUACGGUAGAGGGUAGUGGAAUUUCCUGUGUAGCGGUGAAAUGCGUAGAUAUAGGAAGGAACACCAGUGGCGAAGGCGACUACCUGGACUGAUACUGACACUGAGGUGCGAAAGCGUGGGGAGCAAACAGGAUUAGAAACCCGUGUAGUCC
rnacentral:rRNA from 1 species